CCUACGGGAGGCUGCAGUAGGGAAUAUUGCGCAAUGGGCGAAAGCCUGACGCAGCGACGCCGCGUGAGUGAUGAAGGCCUUCGGGUCGUAAAGCUCUGUCGUGGGGGAAAAUGAUGAUGGUACCCCAUAAGAAAGGGACGGCUAACUUCGUGCCAGCAGCCGCGGUAAUACGAGGGUCCCUAGCGUUGUUCGGAAUCAUUGGGCGUAAAGCGGGUGUAGGCGGUCUUUCAAGUCAGAUGUGAAAUCCCUGGGCUCAACCUAGGAAGUGCGUUUGA
rnacentral:rRNA from 1 species